CCCUUAGAGUUUGAUCCUGGCUCAGAAUGAACGUUGGCGGCGUGGAUCAGGCAUGCAAGUCGAACGAAUCCCGGUUGGGUAACUGACCGGGGGAAGUGGCGAAAGGGGCAGUAAGGCGUGGGUAACCUGCCCCGGACUCCGGGAUAGCCUCCCUAACGGGUGGGUAAUACCGGAUGCCGUAGCGCGGGGGCAUCCUCGUGCUACGAAAGCUUCGGCGGUCCGGGAGGGGCUCACGUGGUAUUAGCUAGUUGGUGCGGUGACGGCGCACCAAGGCCGAGAUGCCUAGCAGGUGUGAGAGCACGACCUGCGCCACUGGCACUGGGACACUGGCCAGACUCCUACGGGAGGCUGCAGUCGAGGAUCUUCGGCAAUGGGCGAAAGCCUGACCGAGCGACGCCGCGUGUGCGAUGAAGGCCUUCGGGUUGUAAAGCACUGUCGUGGGGGAGAAAAGCCGCAAGGCUUGAUCGACCCCAGGAGGAAGCUCGGGCUAAGUUCGUGCCAGCAGCCGCGGUAAGACGAACCGAGCGAACGUUAUUCGGAAUCACUGGGCUUAAAGGGCGCGUAGGCGGGCCGGCAAGUCAGGGGUGAAAGCCCCCAGCUCAACUGGGGAAGUGCCUCUGAUACUGCCGGCCUCGAGGGAGGUAGGGGCGUGCGGAACUUCCGGUGGAGCGGUGAAAUGCGUAGAUAUCGGAAGGAACGUCGGUGGCGAAAGCGGCGCGCUGGACCUCUUCUGACGCUGAGGCGCGAAAGCCAGGGGAGCGAACGGGAUUAGAUACCCCGGUAGUCCUGGCCCUAAACGUUGGGCACUAGCCGUGGGCUUACGUGGGCUCACAG
rnacentral:rRNA from 1 species